ACGGAACGCCUCCAAGCCAAACAUCCUGCUGGUCUUGGCAGAUGAUCCCAGCAUCGGGGAUGUUGGUUGCUAUGGGAACCUUACACUGAGUGAUUUGAACCUUCAUGCCAGGAGAGC
rnacentral:lncRNA from 1 species